AAGAUGCAGUACGUAUGCUCAACCGCUGUCGUUACGGCUUUUCGCCAUAUCAUCUCUAUCUGCAUAGCAUAGGUAGCUGACAUGGUGUGAUGUGAGGUUAUGUUUCCUCACAUGCCGCCUAAACACCGUUGGGUGAAGGACGGAUUGACCAAAACGAACAUCAACUCCUCCUCUCGCUUAUCCAUUAUUUAUGCAUCGACAAAUACACAUUGAACCAGCCAUGUACUGAGGCUCGUGCGAACUGCCUCCACCAAGAUAAGAGCCCUGCGCACCUAGUUCAACUGGUCAGGUUGAACCAGUGCCCAAUCUGUUCAGGUUCCGAUAGCCAGCUAGCCCUUAUCCAGCACCACAGAUUUGGCGGUUACUUCCUCUAAUUUGGCAUUCAUGCCCUUCUUACACGCUGCCAGACACGCUCCCCCUGCCGACCUGCAACUCCUCUCCAAGCUCAUGCAGCCCGAUGAGUGAUGAAGUUCUUACAAAUGUUUCCAUUACACCGGAAAGCGGGGAACAGGGCAGCAAGAAGACAGACGCGGCUUCCCGAGGUAAAGAAAAUGGCGGGUUGUGUGUGUGGCGCGAAAGAGGGUUGCAAAGUCCCGGAGUGUAAAGUAAAGUGAGUCACCGGCAUUACAGCCGCCUUCCCCCCCUCCCGCCCACCAAGCGGAUGUCCUCGCCAUCACUCGCCAUCACUUUCCCCUCGCCUCCCUCCCAGAUUGGUUCUCAUAUCCUCAACCCCAGCACCCCCCCCAUCCACUGCAUACCAAGCCACAACCAACUUCCAGUCUCAAAAGACCUGCAAGGGCCCCAGUGAGCUCCCAAAACCCUAGAACCACCUCUUUCUCCCCCCCCUUUCCGCCGCUGCCGCCGCCGCCGCUCACAAGUGGAACUUGAGCCGCUUGUCCUGUCGCAUCUUGGUAAAGAUUUCCAAAACCUGCCGUACACAAUGCACAGCAAAGCACUCAGCCAAACGGCCUGUGCUCAGCUCAGGCACAUGACCCCUACUGCAUGCAAAGGUGGGACAAAAUGGCAAAAUACGGCAGUACGUGCCCGACCUCUCUGAGCGCGAGAGGAUAAGUGGCGAAUCCGCAUCCUGUGUACGACUUCACCCCGGACGCCAACACAUUUCCCCCGGUAACCUCACUCGGCACACGUACCCUGAUCCAUACACUGGGUGGUUAGCAAGACAGGGCAGGGCAGGGGAGGGCAAGACGGGGCCGGGCAGGGUAUGUGCUACUGUGAUCUCCCCCUUCCUCGAGGGGGAGGGGCCCUCUGCGCUGCGGGGGCUGCGGGGACUGCGGUUCCCGCCACCCGCCAACCCCCUCUGGCACCUCACCUGGUCCGGGUUGUUCACCGUGACGGGUCCCACCCUAACCGACUGGUAGUUGCCCCCGCUGCUGGGCCGUACAUCCACGUCCACAGGCCCCCCCACCACCUCCACCACGCAGCGGAUCAUGGCCUCCCGGAACUCGUCCCCUCCGGAGCCCACUGCGGUGAACAGCCGCUGGGUGGG
rnacentral:lncRNA from 1 species